rnacentral:tRNA from 1 species
GCCGCUGUGGCGGAAUAGGCAGACGCAAGGGACUUAAAAUCCCUCGAACAUUACGUUCAUGUCGGUUCGAACCCGACUAGCGGCACCA